rnacentral:pre_miRNA from 1 species
CAACUACUCCCUCUGUCCCAAAUUUCUUGUCUUAGAUUUGUCUAGAUACGGAUGUAUCUAAUACUAAAAUUUGACUUGAUACAUCCGUAUCUAGACAAAUCUAAGACAAUAAUUUUGGGAUGGAGGGAGUACUUU